rnacentral:lncRNA from 1 species
AUUAUGUUCAGAGAUGCUCAAUCUACUUUGUAUACAAGUAGCAUUAUAUAAAUAAUUCCAUGGAUAUUAUAAUAUGUAAUAUCUCAAACCACAGUUUACAUUUGCCUAAUCAACUCAUUAACUUAUCAGCUCCAAACACAUUUAACACUGAGCAGCAAUUGUCCAUGGCAGGCUAUUGCUUGCUAUUCUCAGCUGCCAGACGAAGGAAUGCUAAAAAGAGCCUUUGUAGAUUGGGAAACCUAUGCUUUAAAAGAAAUGACGCUGCCUACAAGGAACACAGAGCAGGCGUUUUUAGAACAAGAGUUCCAGAUUCCUGUGACUCAGUUGGACAAUGA